rnacentral:rRNA from 1 species
UACGUAGGGUGCAAGCGUUAAUCGGAAUUACUGGGCGUAAAGCGUGCGCAGGCGGUUGUGCAAGACCGAUGUGAAAUCCCCGGGCUCAACCUGGGAAUGGCAUUGGUGACUGCACGGCUAGAGUGUGUCAGAGGGGGGUAGAAUUCCACGUGUAGCAGUGAAAUGCGUAGAGAUGUGGAAGAAUACCGAUGGCGAAGGCAGCCCCCUGGGAUAACACUGACGCUCAUGCACGAAAGCGUGGGGAGCAAACAGG